rnacentral:rRNA from 1 species
UGAGGAAUAUUGGUCAAUGGGCGCAGGCCUGAACCAGCCAAGUAGCGUGAAGGAUGACUGCCCUAUGGGUUGUAAACUUCUUUUAUAUGGGAAUAAAGUUUUCCACGUGUGGAAUUUUGUAUGUACCAUAUGAAUAAGGAUCGGCUAACUCCGUGCCAGCAGCCGCGGUAAUACGGAGGAUCCGAGCGUUAUCCGGAUUUAUUGGGUUUAAAGGGAGCGUAGGUGGACAGUUAAGUCAGUUGUGAAAGUUUGCGGCUCAACCGUAAAAUUGCAGUUGAUACUGGCUGUCUUGAGGACAGUAGAGGUGGGCGGAAUUCGUGGUGUAGCGGUGAAAUGCUUAGAUAGCACGAAGAACUCCGAUUGCGAAGGCAGCUCACUGGACUGCAACUGACACUGAUGGUCGAAAGUGUGGGUAUCAAACAGG